ensembl:Y_RNA Y_RNA Y RNA
GGCUGGCCUGAGAGCAGUGCUGUUUACAGCUAAUUGAUUAUAACCAGUUAAGGAUUUCUUCCUUCUUCACUCCCACUGCUUCACUUGAUUAGCCUUAA